CGCGGCCUAUCAGCUUGUUGGCGAGGUAACGGCUCACCAAGGCAACGACGGGUAACCGGCCUGAGAGGGCGACCGGUCACACUGGGACUGAGACACGGCCCAGACUCCUACGGGAGGCAGCAGUGGGGAAUAUUGCGCAAUGGGCGGAAGCCUGACGCAGCGACGCCGCGUGGGGGAUGACGGCCUUCGGGUUGUAAACCUCUUUCAGCGGGGACGAAGCCCUUUGGGGUGACGGUACCUGCAGAAGAAGCGCCGGCUAACUACGUGCCAGCAGCCGCGGUAAUACGUAGGGCGCGAGCGUUGUCCGGAAUCACUGGGCGUAAAGAGCUCGUAGGCGGUUUGUCGCGUCGGAUGUGAAAGCCCAUGGCUUAACUGUGGGUCUGCAUUCGAUACGGGCAGACUAGAGGUAGGUAGGGGAGCAUGGAAUUCCCGGUGUAGCGGUGAAAUGCGCAGAUAUCGGGAGGAACACCGGUGGCGAAGGCGGUGCUCUGGGCCUUACCUGACGCUGAGGAGCGAAAGCGUGGGGAGCGAACAGGAUUAGAUACCCUGGUAGUCCACGCCGUAAACGUUGGGCGCUAGGUGUGGGGUUCUUCCACGGAUUCCGCGCCGUAGCUAACGCAGGAAGUACCCCGCCUGGGGAGUACGG
rnacentral:rRNA from 1 species